AUUGAACGCUGGCGGAAUGCUUUACACAUGCAAGUCGAGCGGCAGCGCGGGGGCAACCCUGGCGGCGAGCGGGCGAACGGGUGAGUAAUACAUCGGAACGUGUCCUUGAGUGGGGGAUAGCUCGGCGAAAGCCGGAUUAAUACCGCAUAAGCUCUGCGGAGGAAAGCGGGGGACUGGUAACGGCCUCGCGCUGUUGGAGCGGCCGAUGUCGGAUUAGCUAGUUGGUGGGGUAAAGCCCACCAAGGCGACGAUCCGUAGCUGGUCUGAGAGGAUGAUCAGCCACACUGGAACUGAGACACGGUCCAGACUCCUACGGGAGGCAGCAGU
rnacentral:rRNA from 1 species